rnacentral:rRNA from 1 species
UACGUAGGGUGCGAGCGUUGUCCGGAAUUAUUGGGCGUAAAGAGCGUGUAGGCGGCCAGGUAGGUCUGCUGUGAAAACUCGAGGCUCAACCUCGAGACGUCGGCGGAAACCAUCUGGCUAGAGUCCGGAAGAGGAGAGUGGAAUUCCUGGUGUAGCGGUGAAAUGCGUAGAGAUCGGCAGGAACACCCAGGGGGAAACCAGCCGACUGGGCAUCUACUGACGCUGAGGUGCGAG